rnacentral:lncRNA from 1 species
UUCUUUACUCAUUUAACAGAAGCACAACUUGCUAGACAGCAACCAUGACAGUCAGAAAUACAAAUUGAAUCAUAUUUCCACUAAUAACCUUCCAAAAAUGAUCCUUUGCAGCUCUACAUGCAACUAAAGAAGUUGAGAUAACACAGUGAGUACUGUUUCUUAUGCUAUCCAGGCUAGUGGGGGAAAGCACUCAUUUGCUGCAUAAAACAAGGCACACCUUCUCCAGCAGAUACAAAGCUGAUGUGCAUAUACUUUCCAAAUAAAGAUGGGCAUUUCUACAGUCCUGCCUCCAGGGAGAGCUGGGAUCAAACCGAGCACACCCAAACCACACCGGAGAACGAUCAAUGAGAGGCCAGCACCAUUUUGGCGGCGAUGUUCCUAUUUCGGAUUCUCUCAAAACUUCCAUCUCAAAAAGUAACUUUAUUCAGAAGCACGAUGACUGCAUUCAGACCGAUGCAAACAGUAAGCUUUCUGUCGGAGCUUCCCUUCGGUGAGCACGGAGGACUGCUGCUGCGCACCCGCACGGCCACGGGAGCGCACCCGCACGGCUUGCACGCGGCGGGCGAGGGCGGGGCCAAGGGCGAGGGAGGACCCUUCCUAUAAAGCAGCUCUCACGAAGCGCUCUUGGCGUCGGUUGUGCUCCCCGCGGACCCUACAAGCAAGCUGCACGGGACCCGGCAGCAGCACAGCACAGCACAGCACACCGACCCGCCGGAGCGGGGCUGCGCGGACCGACACGGCACAGGAAGCUCCCUAGGAAAGCGGAAGGGCUCAGCAGGGUCGGGCCGCGGAGCGCUGCUGGGAGGAAGAUAAUUCCUCAUGCCUUUACCUUUCCUGGAGCCCUCGCUGCUGCCGGCUGGGGCCUCCCCGGGCUCUGGGGCACCGGCGAAAGCCGGGAACAAGGCCAUGUCCCAGCCCGUCGCCAGUAGUAGCUGCCCGAAGUGCCCCGCGGAGCGGCGGAGCAAGACGGCGCUGCGGGUGUCCUGCAUUCUCCGAACUUCUGAUGGGACUGCCGUUCAGACUUUAGGGAAGAGUAGGGGAUGAGGCUUCCACAGCCAGAAGCAGUCUUUCCUUCCCCACCGCCCCAUUUUCCCUCAUGCAGCACGCUGGGAGCAAACACUGCAGGUCUGCCUGGCCAGAGAGUAUCCCAAAUGGCGGUAGCAGUGGCUUAGGGGAAAAGUAACUAUUCCCACGUUCAGCAUUUAUACGUUUUCUAACCGGAGGAGAUGCUCAUCAUAUUAAAUAGCAUCAGUGAGCAAGCCUCCAUAAACGAGGAACAAACACUUUAUUCCUUUGGUCUCUUGGGCAGAAUUUUUAAUUAUGAACUGUGUGCACUGUGAGGAAAAAAUGCAAGCAUCCCUAUUUAUUUCUCCACACAAUUGUACACACCAUUAAGAUACUUCUCUUCAGUAUUUUAUCUUCUGGAUAAAUGGCUCUGCUUUUUUUUUUUUCUUUUUUUUUUCUUUUUUUUCUCCUCCUCUCUCUCUUUGCUUACCAAAGCCACUCCAUACUGUUGUCCUUCUUGGAUUCUUCUGGUGUAUCUCUAGUUUCUCUAGCUGCUGCUCUAGUCCUGCUGCACAGCCAGAAUUUCACGUAGUAACUAAGCUCUAGGCAUACAGAAGAUGCACUUAUUACAUGAAAUUACAACGACCUGUUUGGUCUCCAUUGCUUUCCCAAUGCCUUUUGGUGAUUGUUUCUUUUUUUGCCUCCCCUGAGCUACAGUAUCUCUUAGGAGCUUAAUCCUGAGUGCGAAAGGUACUCGGUAUCUAUUGCGUAGCACCAUUAGGAUUACUUUCCUGUAUACAGUACUUGGCACUUACCCGCUAUUCUUUAACUGUUACUUUAUACUUCAAUCGUGAAAUACUUCAGUAACCUCUCCCAGUACAAUCGGCAGACUUUGCCAGCUUUAUCUUCACUGCCUUUUGCAGCCUUUUGUAAAUGUUGAAGGGUCAGAUCCCAGGGAAUUCUGCGGGUGACUUACUCCUUUUGAAAACUAUAAAACUGUUUCUUAAUACUUGUUUCUGACCUUUAAUUUACUGUUACUCUAUAAAGUAUUAUUCAUAUUUCUUUUAACAACACGAGAGAAGAAUGUGAGGCAGUGGGAGAACGGGAUUCAGAACAAAACAGUAGUCAUCAUCACUGGUAGUCUGGAAGUCAUCAAAUGUGUGUGGUUAAGAGGAGCAGGGCCUGACUGCCAGCUUAGUAUGAAAAGACGUUAAAAUUUACUCUCACAUGCUGAUGUUGAGCAGUGCAUUUGUUCAAGUGUGUGAACACCUGUCACAUUUUGAAGUAAAACAUCAGAAUGUGAAAAAUGUCGUGUGUAAUAUAUAGAAAUAUAGAUCUACCUGAAACUGAUACAGAAAACAGGAAGAAUAAUCUCAAAUAAUCACAUUGCCAAUUUGUGACCAAAUUGGGAAAAGAAAAAAAAAAAAAAAGCCUAUGUAAUUACACUACUUGAACAAGCACUUGUCCCUCUGUCUGCCUGGUAUAAUUUCUCCAGGUAUUUUUAGAACUCAUGACCAAUUUCAACCAAAUUUAAAUGGAGGUUACAGGUUAUUACAUUACUGCAAAUUACACAAAAACAGGUGGCAAUUUAGAGCAGGAUAUUCAGUGGGAGGAAAACUCCAGUGCGUGUGCAGUUCUUAUUGGGAGUAAAAACUACUGAGAAAGUUCAUUCAGAACAUUCCUUCUCAUGGAAAUGUUUGUUAUAAUCUUAUUCAUGUAAACAUGAAUUCUGCAAAUCUCAAUACAAGGAAAACUGCCACUUACCUAUAGAAAAUAAAUUACUUCCUGGUUUUCUUAAGGAAAAUAUUCAAAGCCCAUUCAGUUUUCUCUUACUUUCUCCACACUUUCUACUUUGUCUGUAGUAAACCCUAUAGUUAGUUCUUGUUACACUGUGAUGACUGAGGAGCCCCUAUAAGGAUUAGGUUAAUCUCGCUACACAAUAAAAGAUCAAGUUUACAAAGAAGGGUUUGUUCUCAUAUGCAAAAGCUUAAAGAAGGAGCCUUGAAGUACAGCACUAAAAACAGUGUAAUUUAAAGCCUAUACAGUGGGCAUUUUGAACAAAAGCAUUAGAGGUAAAGGCAACCAUUUGAAAUUUUCUAGAGAUCACAUUAGGGACGACCCAAAAUGAAUUCCAGCCCCACAGCAAGAAGGCUAAUUGGAUGUAUGUACAUAGACUCUCUUUGCCUCCCCUGAGUGACUGCUGCAGGAUAGGUUAGCAGCUUCCAGCUCUGCGCUUCAAGAGCCUUCCCAAACCUUAUUUAUUCAUUACCGAGUUCUGCUAGCAUUGUGUGGUCAUGCAUUUCUAUCAUUUUAAUGAUGCUUUUGCAGCUUACUCCAGGAAGAAAAUGUGUGUUUUUAAUACAACACUUAUACAGCGUUUCAACAGUGAGAGAAACUGGGCAAAUGUAAAAGGGUGUUAUAAUUGCAUCUCCCAGCAGGAUACCUAUGCAACACAGUGAGGUUUCUAAUUACACGCUUUCCUUUUCUGAUGGUGUGCCAAAUUUCCAACCUUUCUCUACAUUUUCCCAGUCCAUUCUCAGGUUUCUUUUAGCAAUAAAUCCUUUUGUCUAUGCCAAUGCUAUUGAGAUGUAUUGAGAUCUACCGCCUAAAUUUACCAAGGGCUAAUUUUUUUUAUUGAGACCCACUCAGCAGGAAGGCAUGUGACAGCUCUGUUCCAGCUCCACCAGAUGCUGUGCACUGCCACCAGGAUGUGACCCCAGCGCUGUCCCAUGGUGGGUCUUACCAGUAGAACAACAUUGAAAAGAUCAUCUCCUACAGGAGCAUGAUGUGUUUGGGACUUGAAUUAUGUCCUGAUAAGGUCCCUGAAACUAUUUUCUUUCCUUAGGAAGUGCUCUCGUUCUGCUUUUCUUAUGAUACGUUAUAAUUAGCAUCUUAUCAGAUGCUUGCUAGGUAGAUCAGCUGUUACACAUAUGUCUGUGAUCAUUGGUUCAGUUCAAAUAUAAAUUCUGAUUCUAUGCUUUAAAACCCUAAAGGAGAGUUUUGCACUUGAUUAUUUGAGGCUCUGCUGGCCGUGAACUCUCAACUAAAGCCAUGGUCAGACUGAGCCUGUUUGUAUGUAUGAAAUAUGAUCGGUAACAUAAAACAGAAACAGUAACCAAAUUAAUACGAAAAACUUUCAUUUCAGAGUGAUAUUCUACACAUGCCUAUUAGGUUUUCAGGCAUAAAUGUCAGACAUCAAAUAUUUUUACUUCUGUUGGUAGCGCAAUAUAUGAAUAUGAAUCUUUACUUCUAAAUAAGUUACAAAGAAUGAUCUUGAUAUCAUUCCCUCUACAUUUACUGAGAAUUUUGUUGUGAACAAAAUUAUGCCCAGAAGGAGGCAUUUUUCAGGAAUAAGCAGAACAUUCUGUUUGCCAGAAAAGCCCAUAAGCAUUUUAUACAAGCUUUAUCGGGGUGAAGACUGGAGGACUAGGUUAAAUUUUAAUAAGUUCUGAGCAGACAUAAAACUAUGCCAUUUUAUCCUCUUUCAUUUGUAAAGAAAUAAAGGAAGUUUAUUCCUAUAAAUAAAUAUAUAAAUAGUCCCUUAUUUUUGGCCUAUUUAUCUAUCUUGUCCAUAGAGGCCCACUAUCAUCUUUUUAAAACAACAGAGGAAUAGAUCUUAUCUUCCUGUAAGAAUAAUGUAUUUCAGAUUCUUCUUCUGCCCUCAAAUCAAAACAAAUGUCACAUGUACUUUGACAGAUAACAUCCAACUUAUUGCAGAAUUUUGAGGUAGCUUUGUGGCUUUCAUAGAUGAUGCUUCAAGUUAUUGUAGUAUUCUGUGGUUUUUUGUUUUGUUUUUGGUGUCCUAGUAUUACAGGAUCGGCUAUUUUAAUUUGAUGGAGAGGUAACACCCAUGAUGGACGUUUCAAAUGCAGGCUGUGAAACAAUUAGAAUGUCUAAAGAAUCGGUAUUUAAAGAAUAAAUAAGCUACACUAUCUAUAUGAAGGGAUUUGUCAUGUUCUAUUACCCAUUCUUUUGGAAACAGCAGCUCUUCUAGAUUGUCCCUGUUUCAUGAUUUCUUAGGGAAAAUACCUGCCUACUUGUCAUUAGUCUGGCUCCCUCCCCACCCUCCAACAAAAUUCAUCAAACCAUUUAUCCCCACUCUCAAACUUUGUGAACAUAAGUGUGAAAUACCUAAGUCUAAUUCAGAGUUCAGCUCCUGCAAAACCCUUACCAUACAACUCUGUUCAAGAAUUGUAUUUUGAAACGUUGUUUUUUUCCUUCUCUUAACUCCUGUUGCAGGACAGUUCCAGGACCUUGAUUUUCUGAUGCUUAGACACAUCUCUGCUCAUAUCCAUCUGCUUCUGGGCCAGCAUUGUGCUAUGACUUCAAAUAACACUUCCUUCACCAGGGAACUAACUAAUCUGUGCAUGGACGCUAACCAGAUACCACACAGUCUUUCUUCCAAUAAGUAUUUUGAAAAUCUAUCCUUGUAAGAAUGGUUGUUCAGUUCACUUUUUGUGUUUUUUGCAUACUGUGACAGAUUACUACCCGGGUGCUUUUCCGAUCACUUCCUCUGGAUCAAUUAUUGUACAAGAAAAUCUUGUUAUUAAUCUCUAAGGAUAUAGCCUUGUAUUUUGAAUUAAAUUUCAUUUCACUUCUAUUAUUCCAGCCUGCUAGGUCACCUGUUUUAUAGGAAUGAUGGUCUUGUUAUGGCUCUUUGUGAGAAAGGC